rnacentral:sRNA from 1 species
GGCCGCGGUCGUCCGGGACCCGCCUCAAGCCUCGCAGGCUUUCACCCAGUUUCCUCCCGAUUCUUGCUGGGACAACAUAAUUGGGAAGCGGUUCUCGAAACAUACUCUCAAGGCGUAGUUGCAGUGAGUUGUGAAGAAAUGUUGAUCCCAGAGAAAAGUUUGCAUUUUUGCCCACCCCAAAGAUAUUUUGGUUUUUGGUCGCCCAACUCACACUGAUGCCUAAGACCCAGCUGAUUAAAGUUACUGUACCAUGGCAGGCCAACGAACAUGUCAAAGGAGGAGCAGCAGAGCUGUCCCCAGGAAAAUGCAAGAACCUCCAAAGAGCAUUGAAGAAUUCUUAAAGUUUCAAAAUUGGGAUUAUUGGCCAAGGGAAAUCCAUUUUAGAGAUGGUGAUAAAUGGUCAUGCACUCUGAAAAAAAUAAAAGAAGAUAGUUCAUUUGUUUCAAUUUAUACACACCUAUGGGAAAGUGUUCCUCGAAUAUUUGAAGCACUUUUGAUCAUGGAAUCAAAAUUAAAGGAAUAUUCACUUAUUUUGCAAAACCACACCUCUAAAAUAUUUAAGUGGAAAAGCAUGAUUUCUGAGACAAGUUCUUACAGAAAAUUGGAACGAUAUGGGGAAUUUCUAAAGAAGUACCAUAAGAAAAAAAAGAUAAUGGAAAGAGUUUUUAAAAUCUGGAAGACUCAUUUUCUCUCAGAAGCCUCCAUUGCUGUUUUGCAUGACUCCUUUUGGUGGUGGUUUCUCCAUAAAUUUAGGGUAUAGUGAUUUUUAAAAAUUUAUUUUUUAAGUUGAUUUUUGGCAUAAUUAAUUUUUCAGUAGAGAUAAGUCUAGUACAAAAAUGCUUUUCUGGAUGCAACUACAGAGAUUAGUUUUUGAGCAUUCCACACAUUAGAAAUCCUAUUUGAU